UACAGAGGGGGCAAGCGUUGUUCGGAAUUACUGGGCGUAAAGGGCGCGUAGGCGGCCUGUUAAGUCGAACGUGAAAUCCCCGGGCUCAACCCGGGAACUGCGUCCGAUACUGGCAGGCUUGAAUUCGGGAGAGGGAUGUGGAAUUCAUGGUGUAGCGGUGAAAUGCGCAGAUAUCAGGAGGAACACCAGCGGCGAAGGCAGGUCACUGGGCCGCAACUGACGCUGAGGAGCGAAAGCAUGGGGAGCGAACAGG
rnacentral:rRNA from 1 species